rnacentral:rRNA from 1 species
CCAUGCCGCGUGUAUGAAGAAGGCCUUCGGGUUGUAAAGUACUUUCAGUUGUGAGGAAGGGUGUGUAGUUAAUAGCUGCACUCAUCUUGACGUUAGCAACAGAAGAAGCACCGGCUAACUCCGUGCCAGCAGCCGCGGUAAUACGGAGGGUGCGAGCGUUAAUCGGAAUUACUGGGCGUAAAGCGCAUGCAGGUGGUUCAUUAAGUCAGAUGUGAAAGCCCGGGGCUCAACCUCGGAACUGCAUUUGAAACUGGUGAACUAGAGUGCUGUAGAGGGGGGUAGAAUUUCAGGUGUAGCGGUGAAAUGCGUAGAGAUCUGAAGGAAUACCAGUGGCGAAGGCGGCCCCCUGGACAGACACUGACACUCAGAUGCGAAAGCGUGGGGAGCAAACAGGAUUAGAUACCCUGGUAGUCCACGCCGUAAACGAUGUCUACUUGGAGGUUUGUGGCCUUGAGCCGUGGCUUUCGGAGCUAACGCGUUAAGUAGAACCGCCUGGGGAGUACGGUCGCAAGAUUAAAACUCAAAUGAAUUGACGGGGGCCCGCACAAGCGGUGGAGCAUUGUGGUUUAAUUCGAUGCAACGCGAAGAACCUUACCUACUCUUGACCUCCAGAGAAGCCAGGG